AGAUUAAAACCUUUGGCAUAUACAUAUACCUUGCAUCAACUCCUAGCUCGAUCGAUAUUUAAUUGCAUCCAUGACCUCUUCUGUGUCUUGAUUUGCUUCUUGGAAAAUGAUAUGAUUCCUAUGAUUCCACAAAAAUCACAGAUGUCCAGACACUGCUUUUUCAUUAGCACCUAAUAUGUUCCCCACGUGUUGAAAGAAAUGGGCCUUGCACUCAGCAGGUAGUACUCGCUCUUCUCCCAACCAAGAGUAACAUCUUUGCCAAAUAUCAUAAGAGAAAUGGCGUUGAAACAACAAGUGAUCGACAGAUUCCAUGGCUGAAUUACAAAAAACACAAUUGAUACUUGUCCCAUCUUGUAAUGUUUUCCUUCUUCUCAAGUUAUCUCGUUUGAAUUCUGUUGUGGGUACCUUUCCACACCAACCCUUUCACCUUAGAUGGAAUGGGUAGCUUCCAUAUAAGAUUAAAGAAUUUGCAUGUGUCCACCUCUCCCUCCUUUUUUAAAGAAGCAUACACCUCUUUAACAAUGAAAGUUUUAUCACCACUAUUCUUCUACUCCCACCUAUCUUUCCCAAAUGUUGCACCAUAGGUAGCUCCCAUUGAAACCUUGGUCUUCUCCACAACAGUUGCCAUAUCCAUAAGUCUUACCCCCACAAGCCAACUUCUGCAAACUUCAAAUAUUUUUGUUCGGAAUUCAUAAAUAUCCUAUUGAACCUAGAACUCAAUCUUUCACCCUCUAACCAUUUUGCCUCCCAAAAAGAAGUAUUACUCCCAUCACCCACAACCCUCCCAAUCCCGUUUUGGAACCACCCACUCUCAUUCUCAAACAACUCACACAUACACAAAAGGUCACUCAACCAUUGAGAACCCCUCUUAAACGGCCCACCCCUAAUUAUACUUUUCAAUCAAAACCUCUCUCCAAAGACCCCUUUUUUUCAUUCAACAAACUCCAUAGCCAUUUCCCCACCAAAGUCCUAUUGAAAAUUUCUAAAUCUCUUUUUUCCAAUCCCUCUCUUUCUCUUGAAGCACACACCACCACCCACUUAACCCAAGACACUUUCUUUUCCUCACCCUUGGCCCCCCAUAAGAAAAUCAUUUGAAUCAUAUUCAACAUGUUUGCAACCUUCCUAGGGAUCUUAAAAAAAAAUAUAUAAGGAUAAAGAGGAUAGAACCGAUUUUAUAAAGAGGAUAGGAAAUAUAAGGUACUAAUUAAUCUUUGUAGAAGCCAUAGAGAACAAGUGAGAACUUCCCAAUCCCUCACAAUGCCAUAGAUAGCUCCCAAAACCAAAACUUCCAAAAAUCCCUUCAAUUGGACGUUUUAUCCCUUUGUUUCAGCUUUACUAAUGCCACAUAAGCAGCCUCACACCCAACCUCAAGUUUUCUCACGCCUAGCUUCACAAAAGGGCAUCAAGGGUGCAACUCGAAGGUCCUCACGCCCAACCUUAGAUUCCUCACUUUCAGCCUCAAGUAGACAACAAGCAAAAUAGUUUUUUUUACAUUCUUAAGCCAAGCCUCAAAUCUCCCAAGCUCAGCCUCAACAAAUAAAGAGCACAAUGAUAGCUUUGGGCUCUGAAAAUAUGCUUUCUAAAGUUGUGUGGUUUGAACUUCCGAAUGCUUAUCAAUUAAUUGAUCUUGUCAUUAUUGGAAAGUGAGAAAAUCAUAAAUUU
rnacentral:lncRNA from 1 species